AUCAAAAAUAUUUUUUAUCCAUCCCUUCCCAAGUAUAAUUUUCAAGAUGCAGUUGAAAUACUUCUCUGGGAACAUGCUUCUAACUUACUUGGAAUGGCCAACAACAAGAAUGAAUUAGAUGAAAUCCUAGUCAAGAAAUUCAAAAGAAGGAUUAUAAGCAUGUUCAAGGAAAUCAAAGAGGAAAAUUAAUUACAAGCAAACACCAACAAAUAACUACAUAAAAUAAGGAAGGACUCGAGAGCAGGACAGAUUACCAUGAUUAUAAGAAACAGUGAAUUUGAAAAGAGAUUAAAAACCUUUGGCCGGAAGAAAGAGGCAGACUAUAGAGAAAAUUGUGGGGAUACAGUUUCCACCAAAAUAUCCAUUAAGAGGCUGGAGGGGCUGAAGAAAAGUGUGAAGAUGAAGUCACAUCCCAGAAUGAGGUGGCCACUGGUGAUAGAUCGAUUCCAACAAAAAUCAUUAUCAAUGUCACCAACCCCCAGAUGCCUCUCAAAAUCUCUGCCACACUAGAGAUUAGUUGAAAACACUACUGUUUCCCUCAGGAAUGCCAGCAGUCAUAUUAGAAAUGAGGAUUUUAAACUUGAAUUCCAUGGCUUAAAGUCAUCGGAAAAAUCUUCAGCCAGGUAGCCCAGCCAACAAUAUCCAGGUAGUUGACAGGGAAACAAAAGAUGUUCGCUAGGCAAUGUUUUUAGGUUAUUUAAGAGUGUGAUGGAAUUGCCUUUUCUGGAGCUUUGAAACAUAUGUUGUAACCUAGGAUGUGGUAAAAGCCUGAACUGCACUGAUAAGAUAUAAACCACCCCAAACCUGGCUCAAAGUUAUGCAUUCUGCACUUAGCUAGGUAAAGACGCUAGGCAAUAACAUGUAACUGCUUGGGGAGGGUCCAGCAGUUGUAGAACUUACAUAUUGGUUCUUCCAUGGCUCUGGCUCUUUUGUACUCUUUCAGUCCACUCCUACCUUUAUUUCUGUUAUGCCACCAGUCUCCCAUCUUAGAAAGACAGGCAUCCUUGAGAUGAUUGGCCUGGAGAGACACCGUUGAAUGCAGUCAGCCUUCACUAUAGAGUGAACCUAGACCAUCACAGUAUCCAAAUACAGGAAUGUUAUUAUUAUUUCCAUGAAGAUAAGGGAACUGAGACAUAGAGAAAUAACCUGGUCAAGGAUAUGCAGUGACUUAAGUGGCAAAGGUGAGGAGUCAACCUUGGGAGAAUUACCUGGAUAUUAUUUUCUUAUUAUUAUAGAACCAUGUUCUACUGUCUCACUUUAGCAAGACUUCCCCAA